GACGGAGGAUGCAAGCGUUAUCCGGAAUGAUUGGGCGUAAAGCGUCCGCAGGUGGCAGUUCAAGUCUGCUGUCAAAGACCGGGGCUUAACUUCGGAAAGGCAGUGGAAACUGAACAGCUAGAGUAUGGUAGGGGCAGAGGGAAUUCCUGGUGUAGCGGUGAAAUGCGUAGAGAUCAGGAAGAACAUCGGUGGCGAAGGCGCUCUGCUGGACCAUAACUGACACUCAGGGACGCAAUCUAGGGGAGCGAAUGGG
rnacentral:rRNA from 1 species